CCGAUAUCUGCGAAAGCUUUCCAAUGCCAAAAUCCCAGAUGUCAAGCCAACUCCACUUCAAUUGUCUUGAUAAUCCCUCCCAAGUUUUCAUCAAAGGUUUUUCAUACAAAUUCUCACUCUCUCUAGGAAAUGAGAUUAUAAGGGCUAAUACCAUAUUUCAGAUAAAUUUGUUGAGGUUGCUCAAUACUUCACACAUGUAAUCACGAAAAGAAACCUUAGAUUCUGCAAUUUCAGAUAUAAAAAAUAUAUUUAAAAAUGUGAACAUUAUGUUAGGAACUGAGACUUGCCUGACUAUCCCUUGUGGUGAAACCUCCAUAAAGUAAAUUUAAUACCUUGAAACCAACUUGCUUAUCACUCGCAAAAUCAAUUUAAAGAAAUCCGAGCACCUAAGAACAAUAUAUGGUGUAAUAGGUUUGGGGAAAAUAAUAUGAAACCAAGAGAAAUAAAUACGAAAACUCAUACCCACUUAUAACAAACUACAAUCCACACACACCUAAUCGGGCUACAUCCACGGGCAACCGGCAAAUAAAUAAUUUCACUAUCAUAAAGGAUUUACAAGAUUGCGUAAGUACGAGAUUAUCCCAUAAUAGGUAAAGCUCCAUUGCUUCCCCUUUCCACUACCACAAAAGAACCACUGAACCAACUUCCAGAGUGGACUCCAUCACUGUCGCUUCAUCAACAUUGAAAAAUGUACCCUAAUAGGGCACAAUGGUAACUAGUGUUUGACCUACCUAGGGUUUUCCCAAAACCCAUAAUCUCAACCUCAACAAGAGCUCUCCCUCAUAAAAUCUACUUUUUAACUCUACAAACUGACUUGUAAUGCCCCCACUUAAAAUGGUUUUUACAAUGACCAUAAAUGCGCUUGACAAUGAGAUAAAUAUCACUGGGCUGAUUUUGGAUCACCUACCCAAUAAUCGCUACCUUGGUACAAAAUCACACCCUCACUUUGCCAACUAUAUCAGGUUAUUCUUUUGUCCUAGAACCUAGAAAACUUAGUAACCCUGGAAGCUCUCUAGCCAAAUAACCUCCUUAAGCAUCCCCUGAUCAUCUUCCUUCAUGCUUAUGUCUCUCAUAAAAUUCUACCUUCUUCAAUGCUCUUAUUCUUGAGUUCUUGAGGUUAUAUCGCCUUCACAAUGCUUUGUGUGAAACCUUUCGAGUGAAAAUCUAAGUUAGGUUGAAAUUGGGAUGAAAUAUGAGGUUUUAAGGCUCCCAUAUUCAAGAAAAAUGAAAAAGGGGGGCAGAUUUUUGUCUCCCUUUCAUUUUGUGCAACAAUGAUUGUUCUUGGACUAGUAUGAGUAUGGUAGAACUGGGGCAAGUCAGCCCGAGUCACCCUAAGUUCAACGGUGUACUCUAAGAAAUCUCUACAGUACUUGCGUGAAUGCUAUACAUGUGCAAUAUCUCCUCCAAUUUUGGCAAGGAUGGCCAUCUCAACACCCUAAUAUGAAGGACUACGACGGAGCCUAGAAGAUAUUCCUAAGUUCCUUAUCAAACUGAGGUCCUAAAGGCCCUAAAUUUUGAAGAAGUUGGACCUGAUGAAAUCCAAUCUAUUGUUGAUGGGGAAACCAUAGCACCUUGGUAUUAGUACAAUGCAUGGUGCUGAGAACCAUAGGCAUGUUUGUGUUUAUUUUGUUAAGUAUAAGCCUUGGUUCCUAGGAUUUGGGUGCGUGCAUAUACAAAUACACAAGCGAAAACACAUAUGCACACACACAAAGUCAAUUUUGAAUGCCCAUUCCCAAGGUACUUGAAAUCAGUGUUUUAAAAAUUGGUGACCCGAUCCAAAAUUGGACGAUCCGGAUCAUGUAUCGUCCAACCUGUGCCAGAUCCAACGAAAAAACGGGAUCGACCGAUUCUCCGCAUUAAACCGAGUGCUGACAUCACGGGGUCUCCUGCUUACGUCAUGGACUGCCACGUUCGUACUUCUGUUUCAUUUUUUUAAAAAAAAUUACAAGCACCUCACCUUUUUGCUAGGAAAGUACAAUUGCCCAGCCUUCAUCCACAAACCACGUGGCACAACGCAUCUGCAGCGGUUUUUCUCAGCACAUGUUGCAUGUGACAACCAACCAUGCAAGCCCAAGGCUUUUUAUUAAGCCUUGCUCUUCCUAAAUUCCCUGAUGUGGGACUUGCUCCAUCGGCUGUUGUAUAAUAACGCGUAGUUUUCACCAGGUGCUCCAAGCAUAGUCCAUCCAAUAGCGCUCUCCAAGCGUAUAAUAAACAUUGUGCUGUUGUAUAAUAACGCGUAGUCCA
rnacentral:lncRNA from 1 species